GGUGCCGUUAGGGUAAAACAAGUUUUACAGCCGAGGAGGUAUCAGCAACCACAACAUUAUCCCAUCCUUUCGCCUCCAAACCCCCACUCUUCUCAGACCCAAAAUCACUUCUGUUCUUUCUCUCCUCUCACCACUCGACUUUAUAACCAAACCAUUCCUUUUCCGCUAUUUAACCAAAAUCCAAUCUUGAACACAAACCAAUUCGUGGGUUUUCCGGGAAAGCAAUUGGGUUUUUGUUUGAAAGGAAGUUAAGGGUUUUGUGAAUGCAAAAGAGGAUGGCGUUGAUGAAGCUGAGGAGCAGAGUAGUUGGAGAGAACUAUGCCGGAGCGGUUUAGGUACUUGACCUAAGAAGCUCCUGACCCUCCUCUGAGGUGGCCUUGGUUUCUGGGUAAAAUGCUUCACUGUCUUUGUCUAUCUUUGUCUAUUUUGAAGAAUUUGCAGGUCCGCUGAGCACAACAGCCGGGUUCAACUCAUCCGAUGCUUCGAUCUAUGUAACCAUGAAGCAAGGGGUUAUGAGGAACUAAGGAAGGCUGCGGGAACCAGCAGGUCAUUAAAAGGGAAAUGUCUGGGCAGAAAUGGUACAUGGGGAACUGACAGAAAAGAAGAUGGGUAUUCCUAAGAAGAAGCUACAUUAUGAGAAGACUACUGUUUUUCAAACCAUUUGAAUAUUUGACGGAUUUGAGAGAUUUCUACUAUACUUCUGAUCCAUAAAUAAGGGCAUUAUUAGUAUGCAAAUUAAUCAAGAAGACUAGUGUAAGAGGUAUUUGGUUGUAUAUCACCGGCAACAUAUGUCGCCUAAUGAGAGAUAGAUAGGACCCUCUUUGAUUGUUGGUUAAUAGGCAACUUUAGGUGACACUGAUUGACAAUUUAAACUAAGUAUUUCUCAUUUGCAGCUGAGGAGUUACAUAAUAGAGAGAUAGCAUGGGUUGAGCGAAUACUAUAUUGGGGAAGAUGCAGCUGAGGAGUUACAUACUAUUUUUCAAAUUGAUGUAGAUGGUAUGUUACGUAUCUCAUGUCACAUUAGCCAUAUGUUCUUUGCUUGUAGCUUUGCACUGAAGUUCCUGUGCUGGAGUUGAACAUAAUAUUAGUUUCUAAUGACCCAUAUUGUGGUUGGAUUGAAGGUUCUUUGUAUAAAUGGAAUACUUGUGUACUAUUUUCUCAUAUAUAGGUAUUGUGUUGUAUCCAUUUGCCUUUUCGGCUGUAUAUAACAGGUAGAAUCUGAUUCAG
rnacentral:lncRNA from 1 species